rnacentral:lncRNA from 1 species
GCAUCGCAGAGUCAAUAUUUUUGCUUAAAGUUGAAAGGUUUAUAUAUAGUUAUAAAUCGAAAAUAAUUAUAAUCUGUAAUCCUGAAGCAACCUGUCCUGAAUAAACCGAAUUAGAUAUAAUCAGUACAUAUCAAAAGUCAUGUUAUUGUUAGUUAAGACUUUCUUUAAAAAAAAAAAAAAAUUAUAUGCGGCAGUGCAUAUAUGUAUGUGUUAAAUACAUCUACUCAAACAGUCAAAUCUAAUAUAUACAUAUAUCAGAUUGAUUAAUCAUAUAAGUAAAUAAAAUGAAGACAUGAUUAUGGUUUUUAAAAUUCUC